rnacentral:rRNA from 1 species
AUUGAACGCUGGCGGCAGGCCUAACACAUGCAAGUCGAGCGAGCGGCGGACGGGUGAGUAAUGUCUGGGAAACUGCCUGAUGGAGGGGGAUCACUACUGGAAACGGUAGCUACUACCGCAUACCAUCAGAUGUGCCAAGAUGGGAUUAGCUAGUGGGUGGGGUAACGGCGCACCUAGGCGACGAUCCCGAGCUGGUCGGAGAGGAUGACCAGCCACACUGGAACGGAGACACGGUCCAGACUCCUACGGGAGGCAGCAUUGGGGAAGAUUGCACAAUUGGCGCAAGCCUGAUGCAGCCAUGCCGCGUGUAUGAAGAAGGCCUUCGGGUUGUAAAGUACUUUCAGCGGGGAGGCGUUACCCGCAGAAGAAGCACCGGCUAACUCCGUGCCAGCAGCCGCGGUAAUAC